UCACGCCCGGUCGUACUC
rnacentral:snRNA from 1 species